UUAACUUUCCGUUAUAUAAGAAAUCAGAACUACACGUGGUUUCUUUGGGAGAUGGGACUGAAGGAGGCACCUGGUUAUGUUGUUGUUGGUGUUGUCAAUGAAAUGAAUUGAAAAUGAGAAGGUUGGGUCGGAUGAUCUCUGUGGUCUUUUCCCACCUCUAUAAGUAAGUCUCAUCCCCAUGGUCUGGGUAUUCAAAUAGAUAUCCAUGAUAUGUAUCCAUGAAAGAUACAUGGAUGAGUGCAUCCCAACACUGAACACAUCCUGAAAGUAAGCAAAAGAAGUGCUGGGAGAAAGGAUUUCUCAGCAGUCCAGCAGGCUGGAGGGAGGGGAGCUGCAGAGGGGGGUCUGAAGUGCUCCUGUCCCAACCAGAGAAACAGCCAGGGCCGUGCAAAGAGGCAGAAGAGCACUGUGGUGCCCAGCCCAGCACAGAAGGGGGCCGAGGAAAGAGCCAGCAUCACCCCGCACUGCACUGCACACCCAUACACGUUCAUGCUCCGAAUUCUAUCCAUUUCCAGGUUAGUAAUGAGCAGAGUUGCCUGAGCAUCGCAGGGGCAUCGUGGGAGCUCUGAAACAAGUACAGGAUCAGCAAGGACGACAUCUGGUAGCCAUCACAGGGAUUUCUGACAGCUCUCAGGUUUGCAAACACAGCUGUGUUACUGCUCUGUGCCUUACGGGGAGUUCUGUUAUUGGAAGAACUAUGGGAAUUGUGGCAAAAUCCUCCAAGCUCACCUCCUGCUUCACAGGUGGGGCCCCCCAGCUACAUUGGAGCAUUCCUGGGUCCACUGCAGUGUGAGCGCACAAAGGUCACUUUCUCAUCCAUGACUCAUUUUCUCCCUCUCUGAAG
rnacentral:lncRNA from 1 species